rnacentral:lncRNA from 1 species
CUCUGGGGCCGGUUGUUUGCUGUCUCUAAGGAUUCUCUAAUCUCUCCCCGGGGAAGGGCAGUCCCUCUCCCUCUAGUGGCGGCAAGUCCCCAAGCUAUUUUGAAACAAAAGGUGUGGUUAGUGUUUAGUACACCGACUGAGCCAGGGGAUCUUGGUGGUGUCCCAGCAGGGAAAGGGCCAAAUGCCCACUCUCAUGAGUCACGGGAUACCGAGUGCGAGGAGAGAAGUGGCAGAGCGCAGGUGGAAGCAUGGAGGUGGUGGAGGGAAGGCACAGCUUCAGCAUCAGAAAAAAACUGGAAAGUCACUGUGAUUUUGGAAAGGAUAAGAUUGUAAUAAGGGCCUCUCUCCACUGCCCCAGGCCCCUGGACCAGAGGGCACCCCGUGGCCAAGACAUCUCCUGGGAGCCACUGUCCAAAGAGAUGCUGCCUCCACUUCUAUCACUCCAGACCCCAGGGGCCCCUGAGAGAUGGCUGCAGAGGGACCAGGACAUAGCAGCAUCCGUGACUGUCCUGCCCAGCACAGGCUUCAGGUUGUCCUUAUUACAUGAGUGGGUUUCCAGGUGUCUUCCCUACUUCUGGCCCUGUGGAUUUCAUGCUAACUUUGGCUUCCUGAGAAUUGAUUCUUGGCACCCCUGGAAUUUGGUUUAAACUUUCCCUCGGGUCCCUCCUCCAAACUGUAGCAUGGCUCAAUAGGCAAUAAACUCUCUGAAACUUUGCUGGAGGCUCUGAAAGGGCUUUGGCAAAAGGUAUUAAAGUGUAAAGUGACACCAGAGAGGCUAAAAUUAAAAGACCAACAAUAUUAAGUGUUGACGAGGAUGUGGAACAACUGAAACUUUCAUAUACGGCUAGUGGGAUGGGAAAUGGUACAACCCCAUUGAAGAACUGCCUGCCAGUAUCUACUAAAGCUACACAUGUAUCUACCUUGUGACCCAUCGACUGCACCCCUAAGGAUUCAUGUAGGAGAAAUGAGUUGCACAUCCACAAAAAGACAUGUACAAGAAUGUUCACUGCAACCUUAUUCAUAAUGGCCAAAAUCUGGAAAUGAUUCCCAUACCCAUCAACAGUAGAAUGGAUAAAUAAAAUGUACUAUCUUCACGCAAUGCAAGAGCACACGGCCGUGAAAAAGUGAAUUACCAGUACACACAGCAAUAUGGCUGGAGCUCACAGACAGAAUGAAGUGUGAAAGAAGCCAGCUACAAAAGAGUGCAGGCUAUAUGACUGCACUUAUAGAAAGUUCAAGAAUGGGCAAAACUAACCUACUUCAUAUGGAAUCCUGGAAAGGAGUGCUGGGGCACUGGCCAGAGGGAAACUUCUGGAUGUUGCAGAUGCUGUGCUUUUUUAUGGGUGAGAAGGGUGCUUGUUGGGCUGCACACUUAAGAUUGUGCACUUUGCUGAAAGUUUUACCACCAUAAACAAUAAUAUUGGCCAGGCGUAGUGGCUCACACCUGUAAUCCCAGCACUUUGGGAUACCAAGACAGGUGGAUCUCUUGAGCUCAGGAGUUCAAGACCAGCCUGGGCAACAUGGCAAAACCCCAUCUCUACAAAAUAAUAAUAAUAAUAAUAAUAAUAAUAAUAAUAAUAAUAAUAAUAAAAUUAGCCUGGCGUAGUGGUGUGCACCUGUAGUUCCAGCUACUCAGGAGGCUGAGGUGAGAGGAUUGCUUGAGCCCAGGAGGCGGAGGUCGCAGUGAACUAUGAUUGUGCCAAUGCACUCCAGCCUGGGUGACAGAGCCACACCCUGUCUCAAACAAAUAAAGAUAAAAAAUAUUUAAGGUGAGUUGACAAAGUACUUAACCGUGGCGUGAUGAAAAUCAAAGUGAAGUAAAGCAGGAAUUCUUAGAAGUUAAAGAAUUCAUGAGAACCCUUAUCAACAGCUCCUCGUAAGAGAUUAUACCUGGGAGAUUAGAUUGACUUAAAUGUUUUUCUAACUCUUUAAAAAUAGAAGAGUAAUAGUGGGUAAACGGAUUAGGUGUUAAUACGUAUUUAAAUUUUUAUAAUAUUUAAUCAUUCAAAAAAUAAUUUGCAGGUGUUUUACCCUUAAUUUUUAUUUACUGACCAAAUAUUAUUAAAACAAAAAAAAAAUCUCAUUGAGUAUUUUGUUACCCUCAUGGUUCUUGACCCCAGGCAAAUAUUUUACUUAGUCAUCACAUGAUUGUAUAAGUAUAUUUUAUAUUCUAUAUCACUCAUUUUAUUGUCCCUUUAAAACUAGUAUUUCAAGAUCUAAUAAAAACCCAAAUUCAUUCUCAGCUAGCUUUUCCAGUAUUUGGUUCUUAUCUGAACUUUAUUUUUUAUGCAACUGGAGUUGUUUUGAUUUGAAGUCUAAGGUGUUUCUAAAUUACAAACUAUUUUUUCAAAUUGCUAAUCAGUUUUCCAACAGCAUUUGCUAAAUAACUCAUCACCCACUUAUUUUGUGGUGGUUUAUCAUAUUUUAUUUUUACAUGUGAUUGCAUCUAUUUCUAGCAUUCUAUUCAAAUCCAUUAAAAUCUAUUUCUCUUUUUUCAUCAAUAUUUUCCCUGUUCCAACUAUUGCUCUUAAUGAUAUCUUUUAAUAUUCAGUAAGGUUAUAUAUCAGUGCUCUCCUUUUCCAGAAUAUUCUUUGAUGCUCUGAUCAAUGUUACUUCCAGAUGAAUUUUGGAAUCAUUUUAUCAAGUUCCUUUUGCGGGGUUGUUUGGUAUUGCAUUAAAUCUGCAAAUUAACAUGGAGGUGGUUUGACGUUUUUACAAUACUCGGUCUUCCCAUGCAGAAAGGCAGUAUGCCUCUCCAUUUAUUCUGGUCUCCUUUCAUUUCACCAAUAAAAUUUUGUAGUUG